AACGAACGCUGGCGGCAUGCCUAACACAUGCAAGUCGAACGAGACCUUCGGGUCUAGUGGCGCACGGGUGCGUAACGCGUGGGAAUCUGCCCUUGGGUUCGGAAUAACUCGCCGAAAGGCGUGCUAAUACCGGAUGAUGACGUAAGUCCAAAGAUUUAUCGCCCAAGGAUGAGCCCGCGUUGGAUUAGCUAGUUGGUGAGGUAAAGGCUCACCAAGGCGACGAUCCAUAGCUGGUCUGAGAGGAUGAUCAGCCACACUGGGACUGAGACACGGCCCAGAUUCCUACGGGAGGCAGCAGUGGGGAAUAUUGGACAAUGGGCGAAAGCCUGAUCCAGCAAUGCCGCGUGAGUGAUGAAGGCCUUAGGGUUGUAAAGCUCUUUUACCCGGGAUGAUAAUGACCGUACCGGGAGAAUAAGCUCCGGCUAACUCCGUG
rnacentral:rRNA from 1 species